GACGAACGCUGGCGGCGUGCUUAAUACAUGCAAGUCGAACGGAAAGGCCCUGAUCUUGCGGGGUGCUCGAGUGGCGAACGGGUGUGUAACACGCGAGUAACCUGCCCUUGACUUUGGGAUAACACUAGGAAACUGGGGCUCAUACCGGAUAGGAGCUCCUGCUGCAUGGUGGGGGUUGGUAAGUUUCGGCGGUUGGGGAUGGACUGGCGGGUUAUCCGCUUGUUAGUGAGGUAGUGGAAUACCAAGGUUUUGACGGGUAGCCGGCCUGGGAGGGGGACCGGGCACAAGAGGACUAAGAGACGGACCAGACGGCUACGGUAGGCAGCAGGGGGGAAUAUUACACAACAAGCGGAAGUCUGAGACGACGGCGCCGCGUGCGUGAAGACGUCCUACGGGGGGAAAACCGCUUUCGCCUGUGACGAAGCGGUAGUGACGGUAAUGAGUAAAGAAGCACCGGCUAACUACGUG
rnacentral:rRNA from 1 species